CGGACGGGUGAGUAACACGUGGGUAACCUGCCCCAUAAACUGGGACAACAGUUGGAAACGACUGCUAAUACCGGAUACUCUCAUUGGAAGGCGUCUUCUAAUGAGGAAAGGUGGCCUCUUUACAAUGCUACCGAUAUGGGAUGGACCCGCGUCUGAUUAGCUAGUUGGUAGGGUAACGGCCUACCAAGGCGACGAUCAGUAGCCGGCCUGAGAGGGUGACCGGCCACAUUGGGACUGAGACACGGCCCAAACUCCUACGGAAGGCAGCAG
rnacentral:rRNA from 1 species